UACGUAGGGUGCAAGCGUUAAUCGGAAUUACUGGGCGUAAAGCGUGCGCAGGCGGCUUUGCAAGACAGAUGUGAAAUCCCCGGGCUUAACCUGGGAACUGCAUUUGUGACUGCAUGGCUGGAGUGCGGCAGAGGGGGGAUGGAAUUCCGCGUGUAGCAGUGAAAUGCGUAGAUAUGCGGAGGAACACCGAUGGCGAAGGCAAUCCCCUGGGCCUGCACUGACGCUCAUGCACGAAGCGUGG
rnacentral:rRNA from 1 species